AGUUUUAUGAUAUAAGUUGAUCAUUAUACAGUUUGAAUAUUACUUUUCUUAAGAUAUGAUUUACAAAAUAUAUUCUCUUGUUUUAAUUCUUGUAAUUAAUUUUUAUUUUGGUGAUGUCUUUGGAAACACAAUUUUAAUUGGCCAAGAACCUGCCAUACAUAUUAUAAAUAUGAAAGAGAAAACGAUUUUUAAUUAUGACGCUAAAAUGAUUACUAAGUCUGGUUGUUUAAAAUCUUCAACAGUUCUACAGUGUGGACCUUUAGCGAUCG